UACGGGGGGGGCAAGCGUUGUUCGGAAUUACUGGGCGUAAAGGGCUCGUAGGUGGCCAACUAAGUCAGACGUGAAAUCCCUCGGCUUAACCGGGGAACUGCGUCUGAUACUGGAUGGCUUGAGUUCGGGAGAGGGAUGCGGAAUUCCAGGUGUAGCGGUGAAAUGCGUAGAUAUCUGGAGGAACACCGGUGGCGAAGGCGGCAUCCUGGACCGACACUGACACUGAGGCACGAAAGCGUGGGGAGCAAACAGG
rnacentral:rRNA from 1 species